CAAGAAAUCAGGAUGUACUACAUCAAGCGUUUUUUUUUCCCGUUUUAUUACCAAGGAACGUAUUCAGAAGAUUCUUGCUGCUGGAACUAAUGUCGUUCUUUUAUCUGGUGGCAGAUCAUAAUUUUAGUAUAACAAAAUCAGAUCUUGUUGAUUUAAAGUGGGUAGAUCCUGAUCGUGGGAAAUAUACGAGAUAACUAAAAAGCAGGCGUGUUAGAACCGACCAUUUCAAAAAUGAAAUUUUUUUAAUUUGCCACUGAACAGCCAUAACCAUCAUUCAAAUUUGAUGAUAUAUGAUCAAACUAGAUCCCGAACGUUCAAAAACUUAAAUCUUAUCAAGACGCUAUGGAAGCCGGUGAAUUGGAAGCGGCGGCGCCACUAACGCUGGUCACGCCAGAACAAGAGGGGAGUUACGAGGCCC